UCCCUGGUGGUCCAGUGGUCAGAACUUGGCACUUUCACUGCCAAGGGUCCAGGUUCAAUCCCUGGAUGGGGAA